GUGGGCCACCAGAAGGGCCUGAGGACCCUGGGGAUCGUCGGGGGGGCAGAAGUCUGCUGGGCGCCCCCACCCUGGAGCUGGGAGAAGGUGCUGCCCCCCUUGUCUGCCACUUCAGCUUGUGUGACCUUGAAGGGUCCAACUCCCAGACCCUCCCUGGACAUGGUUUGUGGGGAGGUGGUGAUGCAGGGGACCUUGAAACCUCCAGGGCUGAAGCCUGGGAGCUCAAGAGCAGAAAGGAGAGCUGGGUGGCCGAGCUGACCUCUCCGCCCCGGGCCUCGCUGCCCUUCUUGGGGUCUCAGAGUGCCCGGCUGGCGCCUGUAGGGCGGGGUGUCCGCAUUCUCUUCCUCUUUGGGAAGAGGACAGGGAAACCAACACCGGGCCUGAAAUAGCCGCUGUCCGGUGGCCCGCGUGCCGGCGUAGACGGCCGCGCUGAUUGGCCUCCCCUUGGUGGGCUUGGGUGCCCUACCGUGAACAGGCCCAAAAAAGGCCGACGGCCCCUCCGAGCGCCCUGUGCCCGGGCUGAGCAGGAGGCUGGCGGUGGGCCACGGCCAGGAUCGCUGCGGCAGCUGGGGCUGCCACUCACUGCCAGCGGAGACAGGAGGGGACAGCUGGUAAGAAGGGCCUGAGGACGUCCCCUGGUGAGGGCAGGACUUGAGAUGGGGAAGAGGAUGCCAGAGCCCACACCUAGGCCGCUGGCCCCCUCCUGGCCCCCGCCGUCAGAUGAAAGCUGGGGUGGUCCCAGCUGGGCCCAGGGGUGAGCCUGGCCCCCUUGGCUUAGCACGGGGAGGGGCCCCGGGCUCCUCAGAGCAAAGUCGUUGGGAAUUCAUGGGCAAGGGAGCGCCUCAGCUGCCCGGCACCCCAGCGCCCCUCUCAGACCCGCACACAUUCUGUGUGCAGCACCACAGUGACAACCCUGGUCUGAAUCCCCAACCUCUUCCCCUCCCAGGCCUGAAAGCUGAAGGCCAGUGGGCAGGUGCGGGGCAGUGGGGAGCCUGGAAAGCUGGGCUGAGCGAGGAAACCCAAGCAGACUGCCGCCCCACCGUUCCCUCUUGCCGUCCCGUCAGCAGAGCAUGCCUCUUGGGGUCUUGGAGUGCCAGUCUCAGCUGUCCCUGAUGCUCACAUUCCCGGCCUCUUUGGGAAGAGGAGGCGUGAGCCUAGAGGCUGGAAAUAGCUGUGCCCUGAAGUGGCCCUCAGGGAUACCUGGGCGGUCAGGGGGCUGGCUGCCCCCAUCACGAGGCCCUCCAGAAACACCCUCCCGCCCUCUGCCUCUGCCUGUCCCUCGGUCCCCUUCUUGCCCUGCCGAGGGUCUGUGGGCAGGCAGAGGCGGAGUCCCCAGCUAGAGCCCCGGGUGAGGGUCCUGCCUCCUUACUCCUUGCAGAUGAGACGAGUGAGUGGCCAGGGAGCCCGCUCCGUGCAACUUGGCUCCUUCCGAAAGGAACACUUGGCAGGUCCGUGCUGGGAGCCGUCCUGCCCGGCCUCCCCCUCACCCCGGCCCACCCCCGCCCCAGUGUUGGCACCCAGUGGGCAGCAGCUUGAGGGGCCCCUGACUGUCAUGGCUGCGGGGGGCCAGGGCCCUGGAGGCACCUGCCUGU
ensembl:lncRNA